UACGUAGGGGGCAAGCGUUAUCCGGAUUUACUGGGUGUAAAGGGAGCGUAGACGGCCAGACAAGUCUGAAGUGAAAAUCCAGCGCUUAACGUUGGAAGUGCUUUGGAAACUGCCGGGCUAGAGUGCAGGAGGGGCAGGCGGAAUUCCUAGUGUAGCGGUGAAAUGCGUAGAUAUUAGGAGGAACACCAGUGGCGAAGGCGGCCUGCUGGACUGCAACUGACGUUGAGGCUCGAAGGCGUGGGUAGCAAACAGG
rnacentral:rRNA from 1 species